GUCUUCAAAUAUCGAAAAAGAGGACAUGUAGGAGGACACGUUUCGAGAGAGGACAGAGCUUACAAAAGAAGGACUGUCCUCCCUAAAGGAGGACGAUUAGUCACUUUAGGUUAAGGUGUCAGAUGCACCUCUACGGGCAGCCAUCUUGGAAGUCAAAAUUGUGGGUGAUUCAAAAGGCCACGGCUUUCAGAACUUGAAGAGCUGCUAAAGCUUGAAUUUACACGUGGUGCCUCAGGCUCUUCCUCGUCCUCCUCCACUUCCUCAUAGUAGUAGAUGGUUCCCCCGGAAGAGGUGACCAGCUCCCCGUUGGCUUGUGGCUCCUCUGAGCGCAGGGCUGUCAAACUCCCAGCCCAUGGGCCUGAUGCGUCACACGCAGGCCACGCCC